rnacentral:misc_RNA from 1 species
GUGAGUCAUCGAAUCUUUGAACGCAUAUUGCACCCUCUGGUAUUCUGGAGGGUACACUUGUCCGAGCGCCAUUUUAACCCUUCAAGCAUUGCUUGGUGUUGGGCUAGGUCUUUUGGGGACCAGCCCGUAACUUGUAGGUGGUUACCACCCAUAAUCCCCCUAGCGUAGCAAGCUCACGCACUCGUUUCGGGGAUAGGGAGCGUAGCCCGACAAACCCCCUAAAAAAAAGUUUUGGCCUCGGAUCAAGUGGGGAUACCCGCUGAACUUAAGCAUAUCAAUAAGCGGAGGA